rnacentral:rRNA from 1 species
GACGAACGCUGGCGGCGUGCUUAACACAUGCAAGUCGAACGGAAAGGCCCUGCUUUUGUGGGGUGCUCGAGUGGCGAACGGGUGAGUAACACGUGAGUAACCUGCCCUUGACUUUGGGAUAACUUCAGGAAACUGGGGCUAAUACCGGAUAGGAGCUCCUGCUGCAUGGUGGGGGUUGGAAAGUUUCGGCGGUUGGGGAUGGACUCGCGGCUUAUCAGCUUGUUGGUGGGGUAGUGGCUUACCAAGGCUUUGACGGGUAGCCGGCCUGAGAGGGUGACCGGCCACAUUGGGACUGAGAUACGGCCCAGACUCCUACGGGAGGCAGCAGUGGGGAAUAUUGCACAAUGGGCGGAAGCCUGAUGCAGCAACGCCGCGGGCGGGAUGACGGCCUUCGGGUUGUAAACCGCUUUCGCCUGUGACGAAGCGUGAGUGACGGUAAUGUGUAAAGAAGCACCGGCUAACUACGUG